ACGAACGCUGGCGGCAUGCCUAACCCAUGCAAGUCGAACGAGACCUUCGGGUCUAGUGGCGCCCGGGUGCGUAACGCGUGGGAACCUGCCCUUAGGUUCGGAAUAACUCCCCGAAAGGGGUGCUAAUACCGGAUAAUGUCUUCGGACCAAAGAUUUAUCGCCUUUGGAUGGGCCCGCGUUGGAUUAGCUAGUUGGUAGGGUAAAAGCCUACCAAGGCGACGAUCCAUAGCUGGUCUGAGAGGAUGAUCAGCCACACUGGGACUGAGACACGGCCCAGACUCCUACGGGAGGCAGCAGUGGGGAAUAUUGGACAAUGGGCGAAAGCCUGAUCCAGCAAUGCCGCGUGAGUGAUGAAGGCCUUAGGGUUGUAAAGCUCUUUUACCCGGGAUGAUAAUGACAGUACCGGGAGAAUAAGCUCCGGCUAACUCCGUG
rnacentral:rRNA from 1 species